UACGUAGGGCGCAAGCGUUGUCCGGAAUUAUUGGGCGUAAAGAGCUCGUAGGCGGCUUGUCACGUCUGCUGUGAAAUCCCGGGGCUCAACCCCGGGCGUGCAGUGGAUACGGGCUGGCUAGAGGCAGGCAGGGGAGAACGGAAUUCCCGGUAUAGCGGUGAAAUGCGCAGAUAUCGGGAGGAACACCGGUGGCGAAGGCGGUUCUCUGGGCCUGUACUGACGCUGAGGAGCGAAAGCGUGGGGAGCGAACAGG
rnacentral:rRNA from 1 species